UACGUAGGGGGCAAGCGUUGUCCGGAAUUAUUGGGCGUAAAGAGCGUGUAGGCGGCCAGGUAGGUCGGUUGUGAAAACUCGAGGCUCAACCUCGAGAUGUCGACCGAAACCAUCUGGCUAGAGUCCGGAAGAGGAGAAUGGAAUUCCCGGUGUAGCGGUGAAAUGCGCAGAUAUCGGGAAGAACACCCGUGGCGAAGGCGGUUCUCUGGGACGGUACUGACGCUGAGACGCGAAAGCGUGGGGAGCAAACAGG
rnacentral:rRNA from 1 species